rnacentral:rRNA from 1 species
GUUUAUCAAAAACAUGUCUUUUAGAGUUAAAUUUAAAGUCUAACCUGCCCACUGAAUUAAUUUAAAUGGCCGCAGUAUUUUAACUGUGCAAAGGUAGCAUAAUCAUUAGUCUUUUAAUUGGAGGCUGGAAUGAAUGGUUGAACGAAGUAUUAUCUGUCUCANNNNUUAUUUUUAUUGAAAUUAAUUUUUUAGUAAAAAAGCUAAAAUUUAAUUAAAAGACGAGAAGACCCUAUAAAUCUUUUUAUUUUAUUGGGGUGAUAUUGAAAUUUAAUAAACUUUUAAUUUAUAAUCUACAUAAAUUAAUGAAUUUUUGAUCCAUAUAUAAUGAUUAAAAAAUUAAGUUACUUUAGGGAUAACAGCGUAAUUUUUUUAGAGAGUUCUUAUUAAUAAAAAAGAUUGCGACCUCGAUGU